rnacentral:misc_RNA from 1 species
UCUCCGUAGGUGAACCUGCGGAGGGAUCAUUACCGAGUGAGGGUUCCGGCCCGACCUCCAACCCUUUGUGAAUUCGACCCAGUUGCCUCGGGGGCGACCCUGCCGCUUCGGCGGUGCGGCGCCCCCGGAGGCCAUUAAACCCUGCGUAACUAAGUCGUCGGAGUUUAAACAAAUUAAACAAAACUUUCAACAACGGAUCUCUUGGUUCGGGCAUCGAUGAAGAACGCAGC